AAAGCUCAAAUUUAAAAUCUGGCUGUUUUGCAGUCCGAGUUGUAAUCUAGAGAAGUGUUUUCCGCGCUGGACCGUGUACAAGUCUCUUGGAAUAGAGCGUCAUAGAGGGUGAGAAUCCCGUCUUUGACACGGACUACCAGUGCUUAUGUGAUGCGCUCUCGAAGAGUCGAGUUGUUUGGGAAUGCAGCUCAAAAUGGGUGGUAAAUUCCAUCUAAAGCUAAAUAUUGGCGAGANACCNAUAGCGAA
rnacentral:rRNA from 1 species